rnacentral:rRNA from 1 species
AUGCAGAAGCAGCCUCCCUCCACCUCCUCGCCGCCGGCGAUGUCGGUCCCGCCCUCCGGCCACCGCCAGGUGUCGCUGAGGGGGUCCAGCGCCAGGGAGAUCACCCGCGACGCGCUGCUGCAGAAGGUCUCCGAGGAGCGCCAGCUCCGUAGCCACCUCCGCCGCGCCGCCGCCGCCGCCCUCACCAUCCAGCGAGUAUGGAGAAGGUACCAUCUUAUCAGAAAGGUUACAGAACAACUUCAUGAAGAGUGGGAAGUAUUAGUAAACCAGCCUGACAUCAACCUGACAAAUCAAUGGAUAUCGAGCAAGAUGCUUAGGCCAUUUCUUUUCUUCAUUACUCAACCAUCUAGCUGGUACAAGGGGCAACAGACCAAGACUGUGAAGUCUAUCUCAAGAUGCUUCAAAAUCAUUUUGAAUAGCAUAAACUCAAUGGAUCAAAGCAAAAACUUCUGUUCCUUUGUUGUGGGUUUUCCAGAAGAGAGGUCUAUUUGGCUUUAUCAGGCAAAGAAGCUGAUUUCGCUGUGCUCUUGCAUCCUUGCCAGGUGUGAUCAUUGUUGUUGUAAGGAUGUAAACAUGGUUGAAAUUAGUACUCUUACUAUGCGGUUGGCCAUCUCAUUAACUGAUUGCAAAACAUGGAAAAACUUAACAAGUGAGAAUACUAGAGCUGCUGAUGCCUCUGUGGAGACUUUGAUUGAAUUUAUUGGCACAAGACAGAGUGGUACAUAUAGGUGUGUGAGGAGAUAUAUAAAAUGUUUUGGUCCCCAUAUUACACCAGGGAAGAUAGAUUCUGCGAUUGCACCAGAUGAGCAGCUCCUGGUUACUGCUAGUGCAGUCACUCUUGCAUUGCGCCCUUUCAACUCUACAAGAGCAGACAUGGGUGUUGAUCUAACUGGUGCUGCAAAGGAAUACUUCACACUUAUACUCACAAUUCCGUAUAUUUGCAAACGUCUGCCGCCUCUUCUUUUACCUGCUCUAAAACACAUAUCUGUACUGCAACCGUCUCUCAGCAUUUUACUGCAGACCUCGAAGGAUAAAAUAUUUGAAGAAAUAAGUAAACUGGAGCAGUCAGAGGUUUCUAGUGUUGAUAACAGUACCAUUCCCUACUGUGGUUGGGCUCUUGGAAAUCUUAUAACUCUAGCCACAGAGCAUGAUGAUUUAUCCAAUUUGGGUUGCUUCAUUCAAGGGCUAGAUUGUUGCCUAUAUGUUGAUGCUAUUAACUGUAUUUCCCAAAACUUACUGAAAUGUUUUGAAGAAAGCAAGGGAAUGCUUCAUUGCAUUGAUGAUAGGGCCACCAAUAAUACAUCAAUUACCGAAGAAGCUGACACCAAUGAUAGCUGCCGCACGAGAACAUUGUUUAUGGACCUUCUAAAGCCAAUUUACCAGCAGUGGCACCUUAGAAAGCUAUUGAUAUUGGCAAAGGAGGAUGUUCCGCGCGAGAGGGAAACCAACCAUGACCUAGAUCAAAGGCAGGUCAAAUGUCGGAGCCUAAAGUUAACGGAUAUUAUAUGCUUUUACUAUUACAUGCUCAGAAUUUUCUCUUCCCUGAACCCAUCUGUUGGUCCAUUGCCUAUUCUCAACAUGCUCUCAUUCACCCCGGGAUUUCUUGUUGAUUUGUGGGGAACGUUAGAAAUAUCAAUUUUUGGGCAAACUGGCCACAAAUCACAGGAACCUGAGCAUGAAAAACAAUUGGCUGGAAGUAGUUCAGGUGAGCAAAUAUCCUCCACAAAGCAAAGACGGAAUGCCAAGGACACACCAAAAAAGUGGGCAAAUGUGCUCCAUAAGAUUACAGGAAAAUCAAAUGAUGCAGAUGACACCAAUUUGAGUGACAGUUUGACUUCUGAGAAUUCUAAUGACGAUGCAUUAAUUUUAUGGGAUAUUGAGACUAUGAGGCAAGGAUCUGAAGGUAUCGGGAAGGAUGUAAAUCACAUGUUGCAUCUGUUCUGUGCAAUAUAUGGACAUCUAUUACUUGUGCUAGAUGAUAUUGAGUUUUAUGAGAAACAGAUUCCUUUCACUCUAGAGCAACAACGGAAGAUUGCAUCAGCACUCAAUACGUUUGUGUACAACUCUUUCCUUCAGAAUAGUGGAAGCGGCAACAAGCCUCUUAUUGACGUGACUGUGAGAUGUCUUAAUCUACUCUAUGAAAGGGACAGCAGACACAGGUUCUGUCCCAGUUCCCUGUGGUUGUCACCCGCCAGAACUGGCAGAAUUCCAAUUGCAGCUGCUGCCAGAGCCCAUGAGGCAGCCUUUGCUAGUUUAGUCGGAACUACUUCAGGAAUUCCUACCCGCAGCUCUGUACUUACCACAGUACCACAUGUAUAUCCGUUUGAGGAGAGAGUGCAGAUGUUUAGAGAAUUUAUUGAGUUAGACAAAGCAUCAAGAAGAGCUAACGGUGAAGUCUCUGGGCCAGGUCCAGGAUCCAUCGAGAUAGUCAUUCGUCGAGGUCAUAUCGUUGAAGAUGGAUAUAGGCAGUUGAAUUGUCUUAGAUCUAAGCUGAAAUCUUGCAUUCAUGUGUCGUUUGUCAGUGAAUGUGGCCUCCCUGAAGCUGGUUUGGACUAUGGUGGUCUAUCAAAGGAGUUCUUAACUGAUCUGUCCAAGGCUGCCUUCAGUCCAGAAUAUGGACUGUUUACACAAACAUCAACAUCUGAUAGUAGCAUAAUUCCAAGCAGUUCUGCUAAGCUUUUGGACAAUGGCAUUGAUAUGAUUGAAUUUCUUGGUCGAGUUGUCGGCAAAGCACUCUAUGAGGGGAUCCUCUUGGACUACUGUUUUUCACAAGUAUUUGUGCAAAAACUUCUAGGGCGCUAUAGUUUUUUGGAUGAAUUAUCAACACUUGAUUCUGAACUUUAUAGAAGUCUAAUGCAACUCAAGCACUAUGACGGGGACGUCGAAGAACUUUGUUUGGAUUUUACUCUGACUGAAGAGUUAGGCGGGAAAAGAAUCGUGCAUGAACUGAGACCGAGUGGCAAAAAUAUCUCUGUCACAAAUGAAAAUAAAUUGCACUAUGUUCAUGCGAUGGCAGACUACAAGCUUAACCGCCAGAUACUUCCGUUUUCAAAUGCAUUUUACAGAGGACUCAGUGAUCUCAUCUCACCAUCUUGGCUGAGCUUGUUUAAUGCAAAUGAAUUUAACCAGUUACUUUCAGGUGGAUCUCAGGAUUUUGAUGUUGAUGAUCUGCGGAACAACACCAAGUACACCGGUGGUUAUACCGAGUCAAGUCGAACUGUUAAACUCUUUUGGGAGGUUAUCAAAGGGUUUAAGCCGACAGAACGCUGCCUGCUCCUAAAGUUCGUGACGAGCUGCUCGCGAGCCCCGUUGCUCGGAUUCAAGUACUUGCAGCCUGGUUUCACAAUUCACAAGGUUCCAUGCGAUGUGACCCUUUGGGCUUCAAUCGGAGGGCAAGACGUGGAUCGCCUCCCAUCUGCUUCGACAUGCUACAAUACGCUCAAGCUUCCGACGUACAAGCGGUCGAGCACGCUGAGGAGCAAGCUGCUGUACGCGAUCAGCUCGAACACCGGGUUUGAACUGUCGUAG